CCUACGGGGGGCAGCAGUGGGGGAUAUUGCACAAUGGGGGGAACCCUGAUGCAGCGACGCCGCGUGGGUGAAGAAGCGCCUCGGCGCGUAAAGCCCUGUCAGCAGGGAAGAAAAUGACGGUACCUGAAGACGAAGCCCCGGCUAACUACGUGCCAGCAGCCGCGGUCAUCCGUAGGGGGCAAGCGUGAUCCGGAUUUACUGGGGGUAAAGGGGGCGCAGACGGCGAUGCAAGCCAGGAGGGAAAGCCGGGGGCCCAACCCCGGGAGUGCUCUUGGAACGGGGUGGCUGGAGUGCAGGAGGGGCGGGCGGAAUGCCUGGUGUAGCGGUGAAAUGCGUAGAUAUCAGGAGGAACACCGGUGGCGAAGGCGGCCUGCUGGACGGCAACUGACGUUGAGGCCCGAAAGCGUGGGGAGCAAACAGGAUUAGAUACCCCAGUAGUC
rnacentral:rRNA from 1 species